UACGUAGGGUGCAAGCGUUGUCCGGAUUUAUUGGGCGUAAAGAGCUCGUAGGCGGUCUGUCGCGUCGGAUGUGAAAUCCCAGGGCUCAACCCUGGGCCUGCAUUCGAUACGGGCAGACUAGAGUAUGGCAGGGGAGACUGGAAUUCCUGGUGUAGCGGUGAAAUGCGCAGAUAUCAGGAGGAACACCGGGGGCGAAGGCGGGUCUCUGGGCCAAAACUGACGCUGAGGAGCGAAAGCGUGGGGAGCGAACAGG
rnacentral:rRNA from 1 species